GUGGGGAAUCUUAGACAAUGGGCGCAAGCCUGAUCUAGCCAUGCCGCGUGAGCGAUGAAGGCCUUAGGGUUGUAAAGCUCUUUCGUGGGGGAAGAUAAUGACUGUACCCCAAGAAGAAGCCCCGGCUAACUCCGUGCCAGCAGCCGCGGUAAUACGGAGGGGGCUAGCGUUGUUCGGAAUUACUGGGCGUAAAGCGCACGUAGGCGGACUGGAAAGUCAGGGGUGAAAUCCCGGGGCUCAACCCCGGAACUGCCUUUGAAACUCCCAGUCUUGAGUUCGAGAGAGGUGAGUGGAAUUCCGAGUGUAGAGGUGAAAUUCGUAGAUAUUCGGAGGAACACCAGUGGCGAAGGCGGCUCACUGGCUCGAUACUGACGCUGAGGUGCGAAAGCGUGGGGAGCAAACAGGAUUAGAUACCCUUGUAGUCC
rnacentral:rRNA from 1 species